CUGGAGAUGGCUCAGUGGUUAAGAGCACUGACUCCUCUUCCAGAGGUCCUGAGUUUAAUUCCCAGCAACCACA
rnacentral:tRNA from 1 species